rnacentral:rRNA from 1 species
AACGAACGCUGGCGGCAUGCCUAACACAUGCAAGUCGAACGAGACCUUCGGGUCUAGUGGCGCACGGGUGCGUAACGCGUGGGAACCUGCCCUUAGGUUCGGAAUAACUCCCCGAAAGGGGUGCUAAUACCGGAUAAUGUCUUCGGACCAAAGAUUUAUCGCCUUUGGAUGGGCCCGCGUUGGAUUAGCUAGUUGGUAGGGUAAAAGCCUACCAAGGCGACGAUCCAUAGCUGGUCUGAGAGGAUGAUCAGCCACACUGACUGAGACACGGCCCAGACUCCUACGGGAAGCAGCAGUGGGGAAUAUUGGACAAUGGGCGAAAGCCUGAUCCAGCAAUGCCGCGUGAGUGAUGAAGGCCUUAGGGUUGUAAAGCUCUUUUACCCGGGAUGAUAAUGACAGUACCGGGAGAAUAAGCGCCGGCUAACUCCGUG